GUCUCUGUAGCCCAGCGGUUUGCACUGGCCCUAACAUCUGACCAUCCAGCAGGUCGUGGGUUCGAUUCCCACUGGCCCCA